UUCAACAUCUUUCAAAAAUUUGACAAACUUGAAAGUGAAGGAUUGCAAUGGGUUGAUAUAGUUCAUGACAUCUUUCACUGCUAAAAGUCUUGUCCAUCUGACACGGUUGCUAGCUAAAAAUUGUGAGAUGCUAGAGGAGAUUGUGAUGACGAGUGAAGGAGAAUCAGAAGAAGUAAUCACAUUUGAAAGCUUGAAGUAUUUGGAACUAACUUGUUUAUCAAGCUUUAAAAGCUUUUGCUCUGGAAAACACACCUUCAUAUUCUCAUCUUUGGCGACAUUAAAAGUAAUGGGAUGCCAUAAAAUGCAAAGUUUCUCAUCUGGAGUCGCAACUGUCCCAUUUCUGAAAAUGGUGGAGGUGGAAAAUGGAAAGAAACACUGGAAAGAGGACCUCAAUACCACCAUCGAGCAUUUGUUCAAAGACAAAGAAAUUGGAGGACUUCAUGUUGACCGCAAGGAAUCUUCAAGUAAAAAUAUUGAAAGGAGUCAAACGCAUCAAAUGAGUGCGAGCACUAGCAGAGCAUUGCGCGCCAAAGAGUUGGGAGCACAAUCAAAGGCGGAUGAGAUUGUUGAUUCAGAGAAGCCAGAAAUACACAAACUUCGUUUACAGAUACAGGUAUUGAUACACAAAAUACGCGCGAAAUGCCCCUGGAACAGGCCAGUCAAAACAUAUCAAGUCCUACAAAAGAUGCAGCUAUUGGGAUUGAAGAGAUGAAUGAGACCAUUCAAACACCACUAGCUGAAGCUGUUGAAAGCACAUUAAGUCAUACCUCAGUUCAGGAAUCAGCUGUAGGUAUUCAAGAGAUGCAUGAGAUUAUUGAGAGACUCUUGGUUCAGCUUGCUCAAAGAAGAGUGAGCCCCAUUGCAGUUAAAGAUGGAGAUGUUAGGACUCAUGG